rnacentral:lncRNA from 1 species
UAGAAGGACAGAGUGCCGGUGGGACAGUCCACAUACACUCCUACUCUCCUACAGCCGGAGGGAGGACGGGGGAGAUCAGUUCUGUUAUUAUUGUGAUAAACAGAGUAACUGUUAUCAGAGCAGAUCAGACUCCAGGAGUUUAUAUUCUCUCCAAACCCACAAUCUGAUCCUCCUCCUUUCCUGCUGAUGGUUUUAUAACUCAGAGCUACAGCAGCUCCUCCUCCUUUCCUGCUGAUGGUUUUAUAACUCAGAGCUACAGCAGCUUCUUCUCCGUUCCACUCAGCCUCCCAGUAACAGCGUCCAGUAACUCUCUCUCUACUCAGAACCUGCGGAUACACAUCAAACCUCUCUGGAUGAUCAGGAUACGACUGCAGCUCCUCUCCCCACUCCACCCUCCUGUUCUCCUCACUCAGAGAGAGAUCAGGGUUUACUGUGUUUGGAUCCAGUGUGAAAUCCCAGAACCCUGAACACAAGAACACACAUUACACACACUGCCCUGAUACAGAGACAGAGAGAGAGUGUCUGUGAGUGUGUGUAUGUUAGUGUGAAUGUGUGUUUGUGAGUGUGUGUGUUUGUAUUAGUGUGUGUAUGUUUGUGUUUCUGUGUGUGUUUGUGUAAGUGUAUAUAUGUUUGUGUGUGUAUGUUUGUGAGUGUGAGUGUAUUUGUGUGUGUGUUUGUGAGUGUGAGUGUAUGUGUGUGUAUGUUUGUGUUUCUGUGUGUGUUUGUUUGUGUAAGUGUAUAUAUGUUUGUGUGUAUGUGUGUGUAUGUUUGUGAGUGUGAGUGUAUGUGUUUGUAUAUUUGUGUUUCUGUGAGUGUUUGUGAGUGUGUUUGUUUGUGUGUUUGUGUAAGUGUAUAUAUGUUUGUGGGAGUGUGUAUUAGGGCUGCACGAUAUUGGAAUUUUUUUUACAUCGCAUUAUUUUAGUUUUCUGCGAUAUAUAUUGCGAUAUUACACAAUGCAGGACCCGUGACGUCACAGCCCCGCCCCCCACCCGCGCGCUGUCUCACCACAGAGACCCGGACCAACCGAAAGCUGAGUCAGCGCUUUAGAGUCAGCUACGCCCUCAAAACCCGAGGAAAACAACGAAACAACAAUAAUUAAGCAUUUAAAUGGCGUUUUAAAAGGUAAAUAAGAGCGUUUUUCUGGGAUUAAAAGCAUGAAUUCAGCUUUAACUGAAAAUAUCUGCACAAAACUGAGGUGAGUAACAGGGUUUAUACACUUUUCAUAUUUUCAUGAUCAUACAGUCUUUAAAAUAUCAGUGCAGAAAUUAACAUUAAAACAAAAAAUCCAUGUGAAACUGAUUAUAGUAGGCCUAUAUCUUACAAUGUUUAAAAUAAAACAAAAAAACAUUUCUUUCA